rnacentral:rRNA from 1 species
AUUGAACGCUGGCGGCAUGCCUUACACAUGCAAGUCGAACGGUAACAGGUCUUCGGAUGCUGACGAGUGGCGAACGGGUGAGCAAUACAUCGGAACGUGCCCGAUCGUGGGGGAUAACGAAGCGAAAGCUUUGCUAAUACCGCAUAAGAUCUACGGAUGAAAGCAGGGGACCGCAAAGCCUUGCGCGAACGGAGCGGCCGAUGGCAGAUUAGGUAGUUGGUGGGAUAAAAGCUUACCAAGCCGACGAUCUGUAGCUGGUCUGAGAGGACGACCAGCCAAACUGGGACUGAGACACGGCCCAGACUCCUACGGGAGGCAGCAGUGGGGAAUUUUGGACAAUGGGCGAAAGCCUGAUCCAGCCAUGCCGCGUGCAGGAUGAAGGCCUUCGGGUUGUAAACUGCUUUUGUACGGAACGAAAAGACUCUUUCUAAUAAAGAGGGUCCAUGACGGUACCGUAAGAAUAAGCACCGGCUAACUACGUGCCAGCCGCCGCUGUAA